UGGCCGUCGUCAGCUCGUGUCGUGAGAUGUUGGGUUUAAGGUCCCGCAACCGAGCGCAACCCUUGUCAUUAGUUGCUACCGCAAGGAGCACUCUAAUGAGACUGCCGGUGACAAACCGGAGGAAGGUCGGGAUGACGUCAGGUCCUCAUGGCCCUUAUGGGUAGGGCUACACACGUCAUACAAUGGCCGGUACAGAGGGCUGCCAACCCGCGAGGGGGAGCCAAUCCCAGAAAACCGGUCGUAGUCCGGAUCGUAGUCUGCAACUCGACUGCGUGAAGUCGGAAUCGCUAGUAAUCGCGGAUCAGCUUGCCGCGGUGAAUACGUUCCCGGGUCUU
rnacentral:rRNA from 1 species